rnacentral:rRNA from 1 species
UACGAAGGGGGCUAGCGUUGCUCGGAAUCACUGGGCGUAAAGCGCACGUAGGCGGAUUCUUAAGUCAGGGGUGAAAUCCUGGAGCUCAACUCCAGAACUGCCUUUGAUACUGGGAGUCUCGAGUCCGGGAGAGGUGAGUGGAACUGCGAGUGUAGAGGUGAAAUUCGUAGAUAUUCGCAAGAACACCAGUGGCGAAGGCGGCUCACUGGCCCGGUACUGACGCUGAGGUGCGAAAGCGUGGGGAGCAACAGG